AGGUAGUCAUUAUCAAGUAAGAAAACCAGCUAAAUUUAAGCAUAUAAUUAAGUGGAGGAUUGGAAAAAAAGUGACAUCCAAAGUAAUGGCGACUGAAAUGGAAGUUGUCUAAUCCUAGAAUUCGAUAUGUCGUGGAAUAUAUCUUGUAGUUUAGCUAGUUGAAUGCAUUUUGACUACAAGUAGACUAUAUUAUGAUUGCGAUCAGAGAGAGUUGUAUUCUCGUAUUUUAAGUAGUUAGGAGCUAACUUUAAUUAUAUUCUUGAGUAGUGUUCUUUGGUACUAAAACUCGAAGUGUAUGGUGAUAUUCAUAAAAGAAUAUAUAUUGAUGGGGGACCUUUAGUGUAGAAGUACCGUGAGGGAAAAAUGAAAAGAACUUUGGAGAGGGAAUUAAAAAGUAUGCGAACAUGUUGGUAGAAAGCGAAUCAAACGAGAAGGCAUUACUUUGAUAUAAUAUAAUUUUUUGAGAGACACAUGCUUCUCUUAGCUUUACAAAGUAGGAUGUGUAUAUAUAUCUGAAGUUACCUUGAUCCGACCCGUCUGGAAACACGGUCCAAGGAGUCUAGUGUGGAUGCAUGAGUUUUUAAUUCAAAUUUUCCUAAUUGCAGGUAACUUAGAUCGUGUUUAUCUUAGUACUAAGAAAUAAUCGUGGGCACUGAUAGUUCGUAGCAAGAGCAUACCUAUUGGGAUCCGAAAGAUGGUGAACUAUACAUGUACAGGGUUAAGUCUGGAGAAAUUCAGUUGGAGGCUCGAAUCGAUACUGACGUGCAAAUCGUUUGUCGGAUGUAAGUGUAGGGGCGAAAGACUAAUCGAACUAUCUAGUAGCUGAUUCCCUCCGAAGUUUCCCUCAGGAUAGUUAGAGUUUGAGAAGAGAGUUAUAUUAGGUAGAGCAAAUGAUUAGAGCACAUGGGACCGAAACAGUCUCGGUCUAUUGUUAAACUUUAAAUGGAUGUGGGGAUAUGCUCUCUUAACUGUAGUGCUCCAUUAAAUGAGAUCUCUCAGUGGUCCACUUUUGGUAAGCAGAACUGGCGAUGUGGGAUGUUCCAGACAGUUAGUAAAGAUGUUACUGUAUUCGCUUAUUCUGAUACCAUAACGGUUGUUUCUUGAUUUAGACAACAGGACGAUGGUCAUGGAGGUUGGAAAUCGCUAAAGAGUGUGUAACAACUCACCUGUCAAAUCAACCAGCCCCAAAAAUGGAUGUCGCUUAAGCGACUCAGUGAUACUACAUUUCUGAAGUAUAUGUUAUAGACUAUAGGACGUAGGUGGGCGUGACAAUUGUAGAGAAAUUAUGAGCGUUAGAUAUAAUGGAGCAGUCGCAAGGGCAGAUCUUGGUGAUAGUAGCAAAUAUUCAUCCAAGAGUAAUGAAUGCUGAAGUGGAGUAAGAUUCCAUGACAACAGAAGUUGAACAUGGGUUAAUCUGUUCUAAGUGAAUGUCAAAACAAUUGAGUAGAUGGCAGGGACGUCUUAAGCAAAAGAGUGUCACAUUAAUAUUUCUGAGUUUCAUGUUGUGAAGUUGGGAUGGUAACGUAGGAACUAUCAGUUCUAGUGGUUGAGGUUACUUUGAGAGAUUUCUAUUCUUAUCAAAUGUAGUAUGAUCACGGAAUAAGUUUACCUUGAGAUCGGAGUAUAUUAUAUAAACAACAUGGUCAAUUUUGCGAUGUAUGGGUACGCCUUAAACGGCUCGUAAAAAGUUGUGAAUAUAAUUGCGGUUAUAUUUUAUCUGUAUUGAUUACCGCAUCAGGUCUCUAAGGUCAUAAGCCUCUAGUUAAUAGAAUAAUGUGGGUAAGGGAAGUCGGCAAAAUGGUUUUGUAAGUUUGCGAUAAGGAAUGGCUCAUUAGGUUGGGUUAUACGGCUCUUGGGAGAGCCUAUUUGAUGAUAGAGAUUACUGGUAUCGAACCUGCGUGACAAUCAUGUGGUCUGUAGACUCAUACGGGUGGCAUCAUUAGAGAACUAUUUCCGAAGGAGAUUACGUUUCCGUUGAUAAUUAACAGCAUGUAGUGAACUGGUGUUGACCACAGGAACCCGACUGUUUAAUUAAAACAAAGUAAUGUGAUGGAUCUGACGGUUGCUGAUACAAUAUGAUUUCUGCCCAGUGCUCUGAAUGUUACAUUGAAGAAAUUCUAUUAAGCGCGGGUAAACGGCGGGAGUAACUAUGACUCUCUUAAGGUAGCCAAAUGCCUCGUCAUCUCAUUAGUGACGCGCAUGAAUGGAUCAAUGAGGCUCCUCCUGUCCCUAUCAACUAUCUAGCGAAAUUACAGCCAAGGGAACGGGCUUGGGUAUAAUGGCGGGGAAAGAAGACCCUGUUGAGCUUGACUCUAAUCUGACAUAGUGAAGUGCCAUUGGCGGUGUAGGAUAGGUGGGAGUGUUAAAACAAUGAUGAAAGACCAUUACGUCGAUCGCUGCUUCACUUAUGUAAUUGGAAUGAAUUCUCCAUAUGAAGAGUAUUUUCUAAAAUGAAACUUUAUUGAGUGACUGAUUUAUCAACAUUAUCAGGUGGGGAGUUUGGCUGGGGCGGCACAUCUGUUAAAUGAUAACACAGAUGACCUAAGAUCAGUUCAUUGCGAACGGAAAUCGCAUUUGGAUUUUUAGGGCAAAAACUGAUUUGACUUUAAUUUUAAGUAUGGCUCAAAGCAUUGAAAGAGUUGGCCUAAUGAUCCUUUAGAUAUUUGAUUUACAAAGCUAGAGGUGUCAAAAAAGUUACCACAGGGAUAACUGGCUUGUGGCGGCCAAGCGUUCAUAGCGACGUCGCUUUUUGAUUCUUCGAUGUCGGCUCUUCCUACCCC
rnacentral:rRNA from 1 species